rnacentral:rRNA from 1 species
UACGAAGGGGGCUAGCGUUGUUCGGAUUUACUGGGCGUAAAGCGCACGUAGGCGGCUCUUUAAGUCGGGGGUGAAAUCCUGGAGCUCAACUCCAGAACUGCCUUCGAUACUGAAGAGCUCGAGUCCGGGAGAGGUGAGUGGAACUGCGAGUGUAGAGGUGAAAUUCGUAGAUAUUCGCAAGAACACCAGUGGCGAAAGGCGGCUCACUGGCCCGGUACUGACGCUGAGGUGACGAAGCGUGGGGAGCAAACAGG